ACUUGACUCCUGCGGGACGCCAGGGAAAGGGGCGGCCCUUCCCGGCGGGGCCGCCAUGCUGCGAGCCCUGCUGCGGCGCUGGGCGUCCUACAGGUACCGCUUCGUGCCCUGGAUCGCGCUGCACCUCCGCCACAAGCGCAGGUGAGGGGGCCGGGGGCCCGCGCUCCCCAGCCAGGCCCAGCGCCCCGGGAAUGAGGGGGGAGUUUGUCCCCGGGAAGCCGCCUGCAAUGGAAACAAACCGGCCCCGGCUGCAGAGCGCGCGACCGAAACGCAGCGGUUCUGCUAGAGGGCCCUUAAUCCUCUCGGCUGCUGCUGACCGCCACCUGAUCCCAUCAGAUCCCAUUCCCAGCCCGGGCUGUGUGGAGGUAAACGCGGGGAUCGGCUUCUCUCUUGCCUCCCCCAAAUCGACAUCAUACAAGUGCGGCUCGGCAGUGAGUUUAUGCCUCAGGACCAUCCGAUACGUACCAGAAAAGUCCAAAGACAAAAUUAUCUCUGAUGAAGAUGUCCUUGAAACACUGCUGAAAAUCUUUAAAGCUCUGUUCAUAAAUAACUUUAGUAGACAAAUGGACUUCCUUGCCUUACUUCCAGAAGUUAAAUCCGAAUAUCUGAAAUUACUGACUAUUCAGUAUAAGAGAUCAAAAACAACUGGUUACAACCAUCAAAGUCAAAAUAUCUUUAAUCCAGAAGAAGUUCUGUUUAAUACAUUAGGGUUCAGUAUUACUCGAGAUCGGAGUUCACUGAUUUCUGCUGGAACAGGAGUCUUUGUUACCAAAGGUUUUGUGCCAAAAGGGGCCGUUGUAUCUAUGUAUCCUGGUACAGUAUAUCAAAAGUAUGAGCCCAUCUUUUUCCAGUCCAUUGGCAAUCCAUUUAUUUUUAGAUGCAUAGAUGGUGUACUUAUUGAUGGGAAUGAUAAAGGAAUAUCAAAAGCGGUGUACAGAUCAUGCAGCAAGAGGGAUCAACUUGGUCCUUUUCAAAUGAGUGACAUCACUUGGCUCACACCUGCUGUGCAAAAUCCACUGGCAAUAGGGCAGUAUGUUAACAACUGUUCACACAGUAAGUUGGAAGACAAGGCAGCCAACGUCUGUUAUCAGGAGUUUGAUGUGCCUGAAUAUUUUCCAAUAGAACUGAAACAGUAUCUUCCGAACAUCACCUACAGCCAUGACAUGCCUAUGGUUCUCUGCAGGACUGCACAAAGGAUGAUGUGAAUCCUGUUGUCCUGCCCCACUCAGUCUCCUUAACAGUGAACAGCAACUUCUACAGAGUUUGUAGAUGCGUCUGAGCCUCCCUCUUCCACACAGAGAAGUUGGAGAGGAAGAACUGCAUGUGGAUAUGCAUCAGUCAUCUAAGGGCCCCAGCAAAGACUUCUCACAAAGCACCUGCAACCCAGCCCCUACCAAACGCUACCCAGCUGUUGGGACCAUAGAAUUAAGUAAACAGGACAAACCUGGGCUCGAACUUCCAAAGGAAGCCUGGAAUAUAAAGGAGAAAGAGGAAGAGAUGUUAGAUGGAUGCGCUGCAACUAGAAAUCAGGGAAGGAAUCCUAC